rnacentral:rRNA from 1 species
AUGCACGCUGGCGGCGUGCCUAAUACAUGCAAGUCGAGCGAACAGACGAGGAGCUUGCUCCUCUGACGUUAGCGGCGGACGGGUGAGUAACACGUGGAUAACCUACCUAUAAGACUGGGAUAACUUCGGGAAACCGGAGCUAAUACCGGAUAAUAUAUUGAACCGCAUGGUUCAAUAGUGAAAGACGGUUUUGCUGUCACUUAUAGAUGGAUCCGCGCCGCAUUAGCUAGUUGGUAAGGUAACGGCUUACCAAGGCAACGAUGCGUAGCCGACCUGAGAGGGUGAUAGGCCACACUGGAACUGAGACACGGUCCAGACUCCUACGGGAGGCAGCAGUAGGGAAUCUUCCGCAAUGGGCGAAAGCCUGACGGGGCAACGCCGCGUGAGUGAUGAAGGUCUUCGGAUCGUAAAACUCUGUUAUUAGGGAAGAACAAAUGUGUAAGUAACUAUGCACGUCUUGACGGUACCUAAUCAGAAAGCCACGGCUAACUACGUG